UAGGGAAUAUUGGGCAAUGGAGGGAACUCUGACCCAGCCAUGCCGCGUGCAGGAUGAAGGCGUUAUGCGUUGUAAACUGCUUUUAUAUAGGAAGAAAUAGUCCUUGCGAGGAAAGUUGACGGUACUAUAUGAAUAAGCACCGGCUAACUCCGUGCCAGCAGCCGCGGUAAUACGGAGGGUGCAAGCGUUGUCCGGAUUUAUUGGGUUUAAAGGGUGCGUAGGUGGCCCUGUAAGUCAGUGGUGAAAUAUCUCAGCUUAACUGAGAGGGUGCCAUUGAUACUGCAGGGCUUGAGUACAGAUGAGGUAGGCGGAAUUGACGGUGUAGCGGUGAAAUGCAUAGAUAUCAAGAGGAACACCUGAGGUGAAGACGGGUUGCUGGGCUGACACUGACGCUGAGGCGCGAAAGCCAGGGGAGCAAACGGGAUUAGAUACCCCCGUAGUCCCUGAGCGGGCUGGCAAGGCGCAU
rnacentral:rRNA from 1 species